UACGUAGGGUCCGAGCGUUGUCCGGAAUUAUUGGGCGUAAAGGGCUCGUAGGCGGUUUGUCGCGUCGGGAGUGAAAACUCAGGGCCCAACCCUGAGCGUGCUUCCGAUACGGGCAGACUAGAGGUAUGCAGGGGAGAACGGAAUUCCUGGUGUAGCGGUGGAAUGCGCAGAUAUCAGGAGGAACACCGAUGGCGAAGGCAGGUCUCUGGGCAUUAACUGACGCUGAGGAGCGAAAGCAUGGGGAGCGAACAGG
rnacentral:rRNA from 1 species